UGGGUAACCUGCCUCAAAGAGGGGAAUAGCCUCCCGAAAGGGAGAUUAAUACCGCAUAAUAUGUUUAAGUCGCAUGACUUUAACAUCAAAGGAUUUUCUUCGGAACUUCCACUUUGAGAUGGACCCGCGGCGCAUUAGCUAGUUGGUGAGGUAACGGCUCACCAAGGCAACGAUGCGUAGCCGACCUGAGAGGGUGAUCCGGCCACAUUGGAACUGAGACACGGUCCAGACUCCGUAGGAG
rnacentral:rRNA from 1 species